CCUACAACCAGGCCAUAUAGACAAACCUGUAUACAAUAUGGAAAAAAAUAAUUCUUUGAUGAUCAAGAGGCCUGGUUUGCAGUGAUUUAAAUCUGUAUCUCAGCUGAUUAAAGGUCUUGAAUUCGGUCUUUACAUAUGUCAGCAUUACGCUGUGUACAAUGACCCUCAACUGUAGCUUUGCACGGCGAGGUGCCUUCUGGCACUAGUACAUUAGUUUUUAUGCAUGGUUUCAAGAAGCGAAUGAAAUUGAUCUUACUUUUUUAUAAUAUGAAUUGUUUUAUCUUUACAAUAAUUUUUAACUUUAAUUUUAAUUUUAGUAAGGCCCAUUUGGAUUUGUAGAGUUACAAAUUGGUUAUUUAUUGUGUUUUCUAAAAGCAUGUGCAUCUUUAAGGGUUAAAUGUGUUUUUGUAGGGGGGUUCGUCGAGCAAAGUUGUGGACUGCAUUCUCUGUUUGAAAGGGUAUUAUGAAUGGAAGUGUCGGGUGGUCGGUGUAUGGGAUUAUGGUGGACAACUGUCAGGAUUACUUCCUUCACCAAAUUGGUCUCCUUCCAACAUUUAACUCGGCAAAUGGAAAGUGUUACGAGUCCGAGUCAUCACAGUUUUUCAUUCUGUCUGGAGAGGUUGUCGAUUUGAAAGGCGAAAACCAAAGGCUGCUAAUGCGUGGACUGUCCCUUUUUGAGUCAGUUGGGACUAAAGGCUUCUCUGGCUUACUCAAAGGAGACUGACGGGGUUGAUGAUCUACCGUUGAAUGCAAUGGUAGGUAAUAGAUUCUUUACUCAAGAAGGUUAUCAGUGAUUUUUCUGCAUUACUUGAUUCUCAAGGCACUCAGCUUGACAUUUCCUCAAGAAAAUAUUGAAAGGCGGUAACGGUUGCCUCUCUAAGAGAGAAUUCGUGGAGGCUGUCACAUUAUAUCUUAAUCAAGGACGUAGUUUCGCGUCAAAUGAAAUCUCUAAACUAUGCACUUGCGGUGGAAAACGCGAUAAUAAUCAGCACAGUGUCCAAUAUUGUGCCAAGCAUGCUGAAAUAAUUGAUGCCCAGCAAAAAGAGCUUGAGGGACUGAGGUACUUCUAUGAAGGGAUAAAAUCGGAGCUCAAACAAAUUCAAUCAAAGUGGGGACAAGAAUUGAAACAGGCUUGAGAAUCAUAUGAAGAGCCUUGAAGAGGCUUCCUCUUCGUAUCACAAAGUUCUGGAGGAGAAUCGUUUUCUUUACAAUCAAGUACAAGACCUCAAAGGAGCCAUUAGGGUCUACGUAGAGUGAGGCCCUUCUUGCCAGGACAACCAAAAUGGACAAUUACUGUAGAUAUAUAGGAGAAAAUGGAAACAUAAUGAUUACGAAUCCCCUUAAGCAAGGAAAAGAUGCUAGAAGGGUAUUUUCAUUCAAUAAGGUGUUUGCAACAAGUGCCACCCAAGAAGAAAUAUACGCUGACACCCAAAACUGGUUAGGUCCGCCUUAGAUGGAUUAUAUGUAUGAAUCUUUGCAUUGGACAGGACUGGGUCAGGAAAAAACCUACACACAAAUGGUAAAUCGCAUAUAAAUGAGAAAAUGAGCAAUCUAUUCACAAUUUUAUGCAUUCACUCAAAUUGGAGUGCUGUCCUCAUUCUAAAUUCUUUGUUUUUAUUCGAUGCCUCAUAAGA